GCAUAACGCGAAGAACCUUACCAGGCCUUGACAUGUCAGAGAUCCCUGAGAGAUUGGGGAGUGCCGCAAGGAAUCUGAACACAGGUGCUGCAUGGCUGUCGUCAGCUCGUGUCGUGAGAUGUUGGGUUAAGUCCCGCAACGAGCGCAACCCUUGUCGUUAAUUGCCAUCAUUUGGUUGGGCACUUUAACGAGACUGCCGGUGACAAACCGGAGGAAGGUGGGGAUGACGUCAAGUCCUCAUGGCCCUUAUGGGUAGGGCUUCACACGUCAUACAAUGGUCGGUACAGAGGGUUGCGAAGCCGCGAGGUGGAGCCAAUCCCAGAAAGCCGAUCGUAGUCCGGAUUGGAGGCUGCAACUCGCCUCCAUGAAGUCGGAAUCGCUAGUAAUCGCGGAUCAGCAUGUCGCGGUGAAUACGUUCCCGGGUCUUGUACACACCG
rnacentral:rRNA from 1 species